AUAUUGGACAAUGGGGGCAACCCUGACCCAGCCAUGCCGCGUGUGUGAAGAAGGUCUUCGGAUUGUAAAGCACUUUAAGUUGGACGGAAGGGCUUUAGGUUAAUACCCUGAAGUUUUGACGUUACCAACAGAAUAAGCACCGGCUAACUCUGUGCCAGCAGCCGCGGUAAUACAGAGGGUGCAAGCGUUAAUCGGAAUUACUGGGCGUAAAGCGCGGGGAAGUGGGUCAGUAAGAAGGGUGUGGAAUCCCCGGGGCUAACCUGGGAACUGCUUUCAUUACUGCUGGGCUAGAGGAAGGUAGGAGGUAGUGGGAUUUCCUGGGUAGGGGUGGAAUGCGUAAAUAUAGGGAAGAACACCAAUGGCGAAGGCGGCUACCUGGACUGGUACUGACACUGGAGGGGGAAAGCGUGGGGAGCAAAC
rnacentral:rRNA from 1 species